rnacentral:rRNA from 1 species
GCUUAACACAUGCAAGUCGAACGGUGUCUUCGGACACAGUGGCGGACGGGUGAGUAACGCGUGAGAAUCUGGCUCUAGGUCUGGGACAACCACUGGAAACGGUGGCUAAUACCGGAUGUGCCGAAAGGUGAAAGGUUAACUGCCUGGAGAUGAGCUCGCGUCUGAUUAGCUAGUAGGUGUGGUAAAGGCGCACCUAGGCGACGAUCAGUAGCUGGUCUGAGAGGACGAUCAGCCACACUGGGACUGAGACACGGCCCAGACUCCUACGGGAGGCAGCAGUGGGGAAUUUUCCGCAAUGGGCGAAAGCCUGACGGAGCAAUACCGCGUGAGGGAGGAAGGCUCUUGGGUCGUAAACCUCUUUUCUCAGGGAAGAACACAAUGACGGUACCUGAGGAAUAAGCAUCGGCUAACUCCGUGCCAGCAGCCGCGGUAAUAC